rnacentral:lncRNA from 1 species
GUUGACAUGUCAUCACUUCAUUUUUUUGCGCCUGCGCAUAAAUCUGAGAAGCGUGAGUUUGUCAUCAUUGUUUAUCUAGACAUAGGAUAGGUUGUGUGAAAAUAUUACUGAUGUUUAACGUUAAAAAUGGACCAAAAGAUUAAUGCUAAACAACAUUUGACAUGUUUGAACGAACAUAAAUAGAUUAUUUACUAGGUUUUUUUAGCUUUUCGGCGUGAUUUUAAUAAUGAACGCUAAGUACUUGGUGUUAUUUGGACAUAAAUUAUGAACUUUGUCAAAAGAAACCACAUUUGUUCCGGACCUGGGAUGCCUUCCGGACCUGGGAUGCCUGCCUUCUGAUGGAGAUAAUCAAAGAUAAAGACGGAGUUGGAUCACUAGAAAGCAGCAUGCAGACAGACCAGGGC